rnacentral:piRNA from 1 species
UACAGGAAAGCUGGCCUCUGCCUGGGCAU